GAUGAACGCUGGCGGCGUGCCUAAUACAUGCAAGUCGAGCGAACAGACGAGGAGCUUGCUCCUCUGAUGUUAGCGGCGGACGGGUGAGUAACACGUGGAUAACCUACCUAUAAGACUGGGAUAACUUCGGGAAACCGGAGCUAAUACCGGAUAACAUGUUGAACCGCAUGGUUCAACAGUGGAAGACGGUCUUGCUGUCACUUAUAGAUGGAUCCGCGCCGCAUUAGCUAGUUGGUAAGGUAACGGCUUACCAAGGCAACGAUGCGUAGCCGACCUGAGAGGGUGAUCGGCCACACUGGAACUGAGACACGGUCCAGACUCCUACGGGAGGCAGCAGUAGGGAAUCUUCCGCAAUGGGCGAAAGCCUGACGGAGCAACGCCGCGUGAGUGAAGAAGGUCUUCGGAUCGUAAAACUCUGUUAUUAGGGAAGAACAAAUGUGUAAGUAACUAUGCACGUCUUGACGGUACCUAAUCAGAAAGCCACGGCUAACUACGUG
rnacentral:rRNA from 1 species